UACGUAGGGUGCAAGCGUUAUCCGGAAUUAUUGGGCGUAAAGAGCUCGUAGGCGGUUUGUCGCGUCUGCUGUGAAAACCGGAGGCUCAACCUCCGGCCUGCAGUGGGUACGGGCAGACUAGAGUGCGGUAGGGGAGACUGGAAUUCCUGGUGUAGCGGUGAAAUGCGCAGAUAUCAGGAGGAACACCGGUGGCGAAGGCGGGUCUCUGGGCCGUAACUGACGCUGAGGAGCGAAAGCGUGGGGAGCGAACAGG
rnacentral:rRNA from 1 species